UACGUAGGGAGCAAGCGUUGUCCGGAAUCAUUGGGCGUAAAGCGCACGUAGGCGGAUGUGUCAGUCAGGGGUGAAAUCCCGGGGCUCAACCUCGGAACUGCCUUUGAUACAGCACGUCUCGAGUCCGGAAGAGGUGGGUGGAAUUCCUAGUGUAGAGGUGAAAUUCGUAGAUAUUAGGAAGAACACCGGUGGCGAAGGCGGCGACCUGGUCCGAUACUGACGCUGAGGCGCGAAAGCGUGGGGAGCAAACAGG
rnacentral:rRNA from 1 species